GACAGAGGGGGGCAAGCGUUGCUCGGAAUUACUGGGCGUAAAGGGCGCGUAGGCGGUUUGUUAAGUCGGCUGUGAAAGCCCCGGGGCUCAACCCCCGGAGGGGUCAGCCGAUACUGGCAGACUAGAGUACGGAAGAGGUAGCUGGAAUUCUCGGUGUAGCAGUGAAAUGCGUAGAUAUCGAGAGGAACACCAGUGGCGAAGGCGAGUCCCUGGACAACACCUGACACUGAGCACGAAAGCCGGGGGGAGCAAACAGG
rnacentral:rRNA from 1 species